UUUCUUAAUAUUUAUUAAGUACACUCUGCCCAGUCAUUGAAACGGCCAUAGUAUAUUAACUAUGCAAAGGUAGCAUAAUUACUUGCCAUUUAAUUAAUGGAUUGGUUUGAAUGAGUAAAUAAAUAUUUUAGUUGUGAGUGGGUUUUAUUCAGUUAUAUAUUAAGUGAGAAUACUUAAUUUUCAUUAAAAGACGAGAAGACCCUAAAACUUUUUUUUUAAAAUUGUUGGGGCAACAUAAUAUUAAAUAUAUUAAUAAUCCUGCACACUAGAUAAAAGUACUUUAGGGAUAACAGCAUAAUAUUUUUUAUAUAGUUCAAAUAAGUAAAAAAGAGUAUGACCUCGAUGUUGAACUAGAAUAAUUCUGUCUUGUACCAGAGAUGGAUAAAUGACUGUUCGUCAUAUUAUUUUCU
rnacentral:rRNA from 1 species